GCCCAGGCGAGGUGGAACACAAACUUCUUGAUAUCUGGUUCCAUCUAUUGGAAGGAAAACAUGCAACCUUCUCCAGCCGUCUGAAGGCCUUGUGCCGUGCCAGGCUGAACCAUCUCUUGAUCGCCGGGUCAAACCACACAUGGUAACUGUCCAUGUGUAGUUCACUCUUCUCACUGUGAUGAAAAAAGAUUAAGGCCAGGGAAGACAUGCUACUCAGCAAUACAUGUGCAGAGAAGGUACAGACAAGCAAACAAUGAGCUGUGGGGGUGAGAAGACUGUGCUUACCUGAGUAUGUAGUCCAGCUUGUAUAUGGCCUGUCUGU